UUGUGCCAGCAGCCGCGGUAAUUCCAGCUCCAAUAGCGUAUAUUAAAGUUGUUGCGGUAAAAAAGCUCGUAGUUGGAUUUCUGUUGAAGACGUCCGGUCCAUACCACGUAUGCGCAUCUGGCUCGGCUUCGGCAUCCUCUCGAAAGACGUUUCUGCGCUUGAUUGCGUGGAGCGGAUCUCGGGACUUUUACUUUGAGGAAAUUAGAGUGUUCACGGCAGGCUAUCGCCAGAAUACAUUAGCAUGGAAUAAUACUAUAGGAUCUCGGUUCUAUUUUGUUGGUUUCUAGAAUUGAGAUAAUGAUUAAUAGGGACAAUUGGGGGCAUUCGUAUCAACACGUUAGAGGUGAAAUUCUUGGAUCGUGUUGCGACGAACUACUGCGAAAGCAUUUGCCAAGGAUGUUUCCAUUGAUCAAGAACGAAAGUAAGGGGAUCGAAGACGACUAGAUACCGUCGUAGUCUUUACCGUAAACUAUGCCAACUAGAGAUGGGACAUCGUUCACUUAAGACUUGUUCCGCACCUUAUGAGAUGUCAAAGUCUUUGGGUUCCGGGGGGAGUAUGGUCGCAAGUCUGAAACUUAAAGGAAUUGACGGAAGGGCACCACCAGGAGUGGAGCCUGCGGCUUAAUUUGACUCAACACGGGGAAACUCACCAGGUCCAGACAUAAUAAGGAUUGACAGAUUGAUAGCUCUUUCUUGAUUUUAUGGGUGGUGGUGCAUGGCCGUUCUUAGUUCGUGGAGUGAUUUGUCUGCUUAAUUGCGUUAACGAACGAGACCUUAACCUGCUAAAUAGGAGCGCCUAUCUCCGGAUAAGCGCCUUUCUUCUUAGAGGGACUUUAUGCGUUUCAGCAUGAGGAAGUUUGAGGCUAAAACAGGUCUGUGAUGCC
rnacentral:rRNA from 1 species